CGCCCUCGCCGGCCGCUCCACCUCUUUCCGCUGAUUGGGCAGGUGUCGGGGUCUGUCACUCCCAGGGGCGCGAUAGGGGGCAGCGCACGCGGGCGGGCGGGGCGCCGGGGCCUCACUUCUCCCAUCCCCAGUCUAGCCCCGUCGGAGCCCGCAGAAGGAGGCUGGGGCGGCCCGGGGUGGAACGCCCUACAUCUCUCCUCUAGUUAUCAACUCCCUCCUCCAACCGCCAGCCUACGCCCCUCCCCGCUCCCCUUGUCCCCAGGGAAGCACACAGCCUUGGAGCCCCGGCUUUUCAGCUGCAUCAAUAACCAAAAUGCUGCAGGAAGGCGACUCCGGGGAGACGUAGCAGAAAACUGGAGGUGGAACGUUUCUUACGCAAACAAAUAGCACAACAGACUGCACCGAACAGUGCACAGGAGUUUCUCACCAACACAGCCGCGGCCUCCGCGGCGGCAUAAUCGCAGAGCGUCACACCGACUGUGUAAAAAUAAUCACAACCCACGCUCCACGCUCCCGAGUCCUGCACGUGUGUGGAGGGAGCGCUGCGAGGACUGCUGGGAGAGACUGCUCUUCCCCGAACGGACUUGGAGGACUGUGUCAUUCUGUGAGCCCCUGACUUUAUGUUUGGUUUUGUUUUUAAAUAAGAAAGUAAUCACAUAUUA